UACGUAGGGUCCGAGCGUUUGUCCGGAAUUACGUGGCGUAAAGAGCUCGUAGGUGGUUUGUCGCGUUGUUCGUGAAAACUCAACAGCUCAACUGUGGGCGUGCGGGCGAUACGGGGCAGACUAGAGUACUGGCAGGGGAGACUGGAAUUCCUGGUGUAGCGGUGGAAUGCGCAGAGUAUCAGGAGGAACACCGGUGGGCGAAGGCGGUCUCUGGGCCUACCUGACA
rnacentral:rRNA from 1 species